GGGGCCGUAGCCCAAUUGGCAGAGGCACACGGUUUAGGUCCGUGCCAGUGUGGGUUCGAGUCCCAUCGGCCCUA
rnacentral:tRNA from 1 species